rnacentral:rRNA from 1 species
GACGUAGGGCGCGAGCGUUGUCCGGAUUUAUUGGGCGUAAAGAGCUCGUAGGCGGCUUGUCGCGUCGAAUGUGAAAACUCGGGGCUCAACUCCGAGCUUGCAUUCGAUACGGGCAGGCUAGAGUUCGGUAGGGGAGGACUGGAAUUCCUGGUGUAGCGGUGAAAUGCGCAGAUAUCAGGAGGAACACCGAUGGCGAAGGCAGGUCUCUGGGCUGACACUGACGCUCAUGCACGAAAGCGUGGGGAG